rnacentral:rRNA from 1 species
UACGUAGGCAGCGAGCGUUGUUCGGAGUUACUGGGCGUAAAGCGCGUGCAGGCGGAUUGGUAUGUGCCGUGUGAAAGCUCUCGGCUUGCCCGGGAGAGGUCGCGGUAGACAGCCGAUCUGGAGGCUCGGAGAGGUUAGUGGAAUUCCCGGUGUAGCGGUGAAAUGCGUAGAGAUCGGGAGGAAGGCCGGUGGCGAAGGCGGCGCUCUGGAACGUUUCUGACACUGAGGCUCGAAAGCGUGGGGAGCAAACAGG